rnacentral:tRNA from 8 species
GCCGCCAUAGCUCAGUUGGUAGAGCACGUGGUUGUUACCCACGUUGUCCCAGGUUCGAGCCCUGGUGGCGGCG